AGGGGUAUAGCUCAGUGAUAGAGCACAUGCUUAGCAUGCACGAGGUCCUGGGUUCAAUCCCCAGUACCUCCA
rnacentral:tRNA from 1 species